rnacentral:rRNA from 1 species
CUACGGGGGGCAGCAGUGAGGAAUAUUGCACAAUGGGGGGAACCCUGAUGCAGCAACGCCGCGUGGAGGAUGACGCAUUUCGGUGUGUAAACUCCUUUUAUAUGUCAAGAAAAUGACGGUAGCAUAUGAAUAAGCACCGGCUAACUCCGUGCCAGCAGCCGCGGUAAUACGGAGGGUGCAAGCGUUACUUGGAAUCAAUGGGCGUAAAGGACGCGUAGGCCGGUUGGAAAAGUCAGGUGUGAAAUCCUACAGCUUAACUGUAGAACUGCACUUGAAACUUCUAAUCUAGAGUAUGGGAGGGGGAGAUGGAAUUAGGGGUGUAGGGGUAAAAUCCGUAGAUAUCACUAGGAAUACCUAAAGCGAAGGCGAUCUCCUGGAACAUUACUGACGCUAAGGCGUGAAAGCGUGGGGAGCAAACAGGAUUAGAUACCCCCGUAGUC